rnacentral:rRNA from 1 species
AUGACUAUUCCUCCUGCGCAACAAGACCCAUACAGAAAUAGAAAACAAGGCCUUUCACAAAAUGUAAUGGUUGCUUGUGACUUUGACAUGAAGUUUGUGCAUGUACAUGCUGGAUGGGAGGGAUCUACAUCAGAUGCAAGGGUUUUGCAAGAUGCACUAGACCAUGGAUUCAAUGUACCGCCUGGAAAAUUUUAUCUUGUAGAUGCAGGUUAUGCAAAUACACCCCAAUUCAUUGCUCCAUACCGAGGAACUAGAUACCAUUUACAAGAACAAGGAAGAGUUCAGCAAAGGCCACAGUGCUACAAGGAGUUAUUUAACCUUCGACAUGCACACCUAAGAGAUCAUGUCGAAAGAAUUAUUGGCAUACUGAAAGCAAGGUAUCCCAUACUAAAGGCAGCUACAAUGUUUGAUAUUGACACAAAGUUGAUACUGUUGUAG